AGGUCUGAUAAAAUGACAUGGACAGGGAAUGGAAUCCUGAAGCGUUGGCCGAGUCCUAACGAUUCCGCACCGCUUUAAUUACAAGGCAGGAAACACAGAUGAACAAUGUAGUGAUGCUGAUAAGAUAUUACUGUUUUUUGGCCCUCAUCUAUCUAGUACAAGGGGACUGCAACAGGAGCGUAUAUAAGAUUCCUCUGGUAGACCACGAGUGUCUGGGCCAACGGUCGAUAGUGGUGAACAAUGUAUACGGCUGUAGAGGUAACUGUGAAAGUGUCAGUCAACCCAAGCUCGUUACCACAGAGAGUGGAGUCGCCACAAUCAAACCGGUCACUCACUGCAAAUGCUGCACAGCUUUGGAGGUGGAGAGAAGAACUUUCACAGUGCGUUGCCGUCGGAAGCUCGGCUACAAAACCUUUGAAGUAAUGUCGGCGGUGAUCUGCGCCUGUAGGAGCUGCGGCCCCGACACAUAUGAAUACUCUUCUCGUAACAAUAACAGAGACAAUAAACGAAAACGAAACCGAUCAAUCGGCGCAUUCGACGACUGGGCGAACUCUGAGGAUGAGCUUGAUGCAGGGUUGUUCGAGGAGCAGCCUACAGACGAGGAGGGCUCCGCAGGGCACCACAGUAGCCAGAGUACUAAUUUUAGAGACUCUGAUAGGCUCAGAUAAUGGGGAUCACUGGACAGUCCCAAGUGUUUUCCAUUCAGAUUUCAUGCAUAUACCGUAUUUAAAGCUGGAUGAUAGCGGUUGUACUCGUCUGCUAUAAAAUAAGGUGCUGAAGCUAUCAAGGUAUAUACGGAAGCUGCUGUAGCUGAUGUUUUGCUGAUUUCGCUGGAUCAAGAGGAGCUGGACCCAGCACCCCAGAAUUAUGUCAAUACGAAACAACUAUUUAUGAAACAUUUUCUGAGGUUCAAGCGGGCAAAGGUCUGAAAAUUGAGACCGAACGUGGCCCUUGCCCCUAUAUCCGGAAUAACUGAAAGACAAAUGUAAAAACAUGACCUUGCUGAAGGCGUAGUAAUUUGUACGAUUUAGAUCGGCUUAAAUUUAUGUAUCUAACAGGGCUGGUCACUGUUGAUGAGCUGGCUGGUUGCUGGCUAACUGCCGGCAAUUAAAAUUUCCAGUACAUUAGAUUUUUAGUUGGUUUUGGGGGUCUAGUGUAACUAUACGUAACCAUGAGUCGUACCAUGCAAAAAGUAGCUGAGUUAUGACAAUUUAUCGAGAUAAGAUCAAAGCCUUCUGUAGAUUGUUAACUUAAACUGUCGAGGCAAAAGACUAUUAUGGGUCAGUUUAAUUAGCGUCGUGCAAGAAAAAUAUUCAGAAUCAGAUGUUCGGUUACAGACAAGAAUUACUCUGUUACAACACCGCUUGUUACGGUAGCUUUUUUCAUGGCAUCAAAACUUUCUGUUUCAAGAAGCCUUUUUACCUUAUUUAUGUGUUGUAUGAUCAUUGAUCACUACUUAAAUAACUAGGUUAAAUCAUAAAUCCAGUGGAUAUGAGUUAACGGAUUGAAAUCCGAUUCGUCAGUCAAUUUUCUUAACUUAAAUCCUAAUUUAAAUCAUUAACUUAUUUCCAAUAAUCAGUUCGCGCUCACAAUUUCACGUAAAUGCGUGUAACUGUAAGAGAAAAACAUUGAGUUCCUACUUGUGUUACUUUUACCUAGGUAGAUAGCUAGUUUUAGUUUAGGUUCGUGUAUAUUAUUUGAUGUUUUGUGCGUGUAACAGCACUCGCGAUCUUUUGUUUUUUGUGCUUGGCAAUUUCCCGAGUUUCCCAACGCCACCGAUUACACGUAGGACACCAUCCCUCCAAUGCCGCAAGCAAGGCUCGCUGAUUUCAUGCUGUAUGGUUUAUUUCGUCCUACUUGUGCAAUCGUGUUGGCUGUUUUGGUGACGCUCGUGAAGUUUCCCCAACAUGUGCUGAAUGGCUUCUUAGGAGUGUUAUUAUCACCCAUGAUCGUUAAUUUAUGCGGGCAAUGUUUUGCUGCUUUAAACAAGUUCAUGUGAACACCCUCUAUUCGUCCAAUAUAAUUACAUCCAGUUAUUGCUGUUUUCCACCGCGGGUGUGGUGGGGAGAUCGACUGCUCUUUCAUGUAUGGUACAUAUCAAUAUUGUAUGCACGGAAUUCCAAACUCUGGAGUCUGGUCUGCACACUGAAUAUUGGUAUUAUCAAUUAUUAUUAAUGGAGGUAUGUAUUUUUAAAAACCCCGUUUUUGGCUUCAA